rnacentral:rRNA from 1 species
UACGUAGGGUGCGAGCGUUAAUCGGAAUUACUGGGCGUAAAGGGUGCGCAGGCGGCCAUGCAAGUCAGAUGUGAAAGCCCCGGGCUUAACCUGGGAAUUGCGUUUGAAACUGCAAGGCUAGAGUGCAACAGAGGGGAGUGGAAUUCCAUGUGUAGCAGUGAAAUGCGUAGAGAUGUGGAAGAACACCGAUGGCGAAGGCAGCUCCCUGGGUUGACACUGACGCUCAUGCACGAAAGCGUGGGGAGCAAACAGG